rnacentral:rRNA from 1 species
AGUGAACGCUGGCGGUAGGCCUAACACAUGCAAGUCGAACGGCAGCACAGGAGAGCUUGCUCUCUGGGUGGCGAGUGGCGGACGGGUGAGGAAUACAUCGGAAUCUACUCUGUCGUGGGGGAUAACGUAGGGAAACUUACGCUAAUACCGCAUACGACCUACGGGUGAAAGCAGGGGAUCUUCGGACCUUGCGCGAUUGAAUGAGCCGAUGUCGGAUUAGCUAGUUGGCGGGGUAAAGGCCCACCAAGGCGACGAUCCGUAGCUGGUCUGAGAGGAUGAUCAGCCACACUGGAACUGAGACACGGUCCAGACUCCUACGGGAGGCAGCAGUGGGGAAUAUUGGACAAUGGGGGCAACCCUGAUCCAGCAACGCCGUGUGUGUGAAGAAGGCCUUCGGGUUGUAAAGCACUUUUAGUUGGGAAGAAAAGCUCAUGGUUAAUAGUCAUGAGUGCUGACGUUACCAACAGAAAAAGCACUGGCUAACUCUGUGCCAGCCGCCGCCGUAA